UGAAAUAUAUUGCUGUUGAACUACGCUGGAUAGAAGUAUCUUAAGAAGAGCUGACUGAGGCAAACCUGUUCUCUUUUCAGUUUAUGAUCUCAGCUGAGUGGAAUUCCAGGGAAGGGACUCUGGAGUUGCAUGGAAAUUAGCUGCAAAAUUUUGCUGCAGGGAUUUGCCUCACAGGAAUAAUAUCAGAGUACUAUAUCUCAUAAUCAAGUGCUUGGGAGAUACCAAGUUAGACUGGAUAUUUUAUUGAUGGCCGAGCUCCAUCUGUAAUUCUCCAUCUUUCACUGAAGUUCUUAGUUGCUGCAGAAAUUAGAAAUGGGACAUGGGAAGAUAAAAAGUUAUUUUUAAAGUUUUAUCUUUGUGAAGGAAAGAUCACAAUAUGACAGCUCACAAAUAAUGUAACUGACAAUGGGUAUAAGCUGGAACCUUGGCCAAAAGCCAGAGGAUGUUUAAAAGCAACAAGCACUCUGUUUAGGGGUAUUUGUAUUAAGUACAGUACACUGAUACCUGUCUAAUUAUUUACAAAAAUGUCAGAUUCUCUGCAAGGAAUUUCUGGCCACACACGAUUAGUGUUAUGUUGUUUAGUAUGCGCCACUGAGGAAAGAGGAAAUUAUUCAUCUAGGCAGAAAAAGACAAGGCAGAAGGCAAGGGUGUGUGAAGAAGAGUGCAUCAAGCUUUGCAUUUAUGGGUAGGGGUUGCCCAGCUACUGGCCACAUCUGAGUGGUGGGUGGUGAGUGUUGAGGGGUGAGGGAUGGAGGCGGCAGUAGAUCAGAGCGGGAUCUACAAAAUUAGGAUCUAGAAGCAACAGUGAGGAGAUGGACAUUUUGCAUGCCUCACUCAGUAGCUGGCCAUGAGGUGACGUUAAUACACUUUGUUUUACUGCUACAAUAUCAUGUAGGACUGUGUUUGCAGAAUGUGGACAGUGGGUUGGGAGGAUGUCUUGGUGAGGAAGUCCAAGCACCUUACACGCCAAAAGCAGAGGCCAUAUUUUGAAAACUUCAGGACUGCCCAUAUUAGGCUUUGAAAAUUCCUCUUCUAUAUAGAGUGUAUAAAAUGGAGUGUUCAAAUUCCCUGCAGGGUGUUCAGAUCUCCCCUUUAAAAAUUCCUCUGCCAGAUACUCGUGGGAGUCUUUGGCAGAACCGGGAAUUGAACCCAGGUUUCCUAUGUGCCUUAACUAGAACACUGUACUCUCUUCUCCCAACAUGUUUUACUUUGGGCAAACUUGAAAACUGGUGGGACCUCUUUCUGUCCUUUGAGAGUUUAUUCUCCAUUUGGAAAAGAUUGUCUGUUUGCUUCCUCAUUAUAGCCCCUCUAAGUUCAUCCCUCAUCUGUUUAAUAGAUUCUUAAGAAGUUCACUUAGCUAAUUUAUACCUAUUUAGGAAUGGCUAUUAGUUUUAAUUUACUUUAAAUUUCCUCCUUAUAAAUCUCGUCUGGAGAAACAAAAAUAUAAUUUCACCAUGUGGUCUUAAAUCCUGUCCAGCUGAAAAAAUACAGUUAACCAGCAUGGGGUUAAUGGGUUGAUGUGCAAACUGAUGAUCCACACCAGUUUUCUCAUCUCUAAAUAACACUGUAUGUCCUGUAUACACAGCAACUGAUUUCACCCCGUAUGUUCUGUUUUUCUGCAUUUCUGUUCUCUUACUGUAAACUCUCAUUUUGAUUCUGCCACUAUCCGUUUGUCACCUAAUAAAACAGGAUCAAAUUC